rnacentral:tRNA from 1 species
GAUUCCAUAGUGUAGCAGUUAGCGUGACUGCUUUACACGCAGAAGGUCCUGAGUUCACACCCCAGUGGAGCCA